rnacentral:rRNA from 1 species
CCUACGGGAGGCAGCAGUGAGGAAUAUUGGUCAAUGGACGAGAGUCUGAACCAGCCAAGUAGCGUGAAGGAUGACUGCACUAUGGGUUGUAAACUUCUUUUAUAUGGGAAUAAAAUGUUCCACGUGUGGGAUUUUGUAUGUACCAUAUGAAUAAGGAUCGGCUAACUCCGUGCCAGCAGCCGCGGUAAUACGGAGGAUCCGAGCGUUAUCCGGAUUUAUUGGGUUUAAAGGGAGCGUAGGUGGGUUGUUAAGUCAGUUGCGAAAGUUUGCGGCUCAACCGUAAAAUUGCAGUUGAAACUGGCAGUCUUGAGUACAGUAGAGGUGGGCGGAAUGCGUGGUGUAGCGGUGAAAGGCUUAGAUAUCACGAAGAACUCCGAUUGCGAAGGCAGCUCACUGGACUGCAACUGACACUGAGGCUCGAAAGUGUGGGUAUCAAACAGGAUUAGAUACCCCAGUAGUC